rnacentral:lncRNA from 1 species
AUUGGUUCAGUCUGGCUCAUGUGCGUGUGCCUAGGCCAAUCAUAAUGGCCAGGGAAAUGACACACUGUGAUUGGCUUGACCUGGAUUAUGUUUUUCUUUAAGGAAGGUGAUGAGGCAGUAGAUAACUGGACAGCCCAACCAGAACCACGUGUUCCCCAAAGGUAGAAGGGAGUCAUUUACCAGAGGUGGGGAGAAAUGGGGAGUAUGGGGCAGAAAUAAAGCACAGAUAUACACCACCUAGGAGAAGAUGUUCACGUUUGGAAGAACAGGAAGGCACCUAACAUCUUCUUGUGAAGUUAGCUCCAGCAGAUGUGGCUACUUCCUGGACGGUCAUCCAUCUGGCGUCCACCUGACCAGCAGCACCCCAGGUGAGGCUGUGCUUCACGCGAAGCAGGCUCCAACUCUGAUACUCUCAGAAUGGCUGUGAUUAUAUCCUACAUGCUCAUCCAGACUCUCGCCCCACUGAUCCGUGAAGAGGGAGAGUCUAUUUCUCAGUCCUUUGAAUCUGGGUGAUUUUGUGAUUGCAGCAAUGAAGACCUAUAGAGUGAAAGUGAUGCGGUAUGAUUUCUGAGGCUGGGUCAGAAAAGGUGACACGGCUGGUGAGCAGCCUCUCUCAUGUAGGGCACUUACCCUUGGAGCCCAGCCACCAUCCUGUGAGGAAGCCCAACCAAGCCCGUGAGGGUAGGUUACACAUGGAGAAAAACUGAGGCCUUGAGCCCAAAGCCAGCAUCUCCACCACACACGAGAGUAAAAGACUUCAGCUGAUUCCAGCCCCCAGCUUUUGAGACGUUCAGUCUCCUGUACUCUGUCCAAAUUCUUGACACAAAAUCUAUUAGAUUAUGAUAAAUAUCUUUGUACCACCAAAUUUUGGGGUCUGGUUUCUAUGGUAAGUCGUGUCUUAUUUGAUAGCUCAUUUCUUUCUCCAGGGAUUGGUUUGGGGGUUGGUUUGAGAUCCAGCCCUGGCUAAUGCGAUGAGAAAAGAUGUCUACUGAGGGAAUUUCUGGAGAAGGUUUCCUGAUUUUGAAAGAAAAUUAUCAAGAAGAUGCAGGGUUUUUUCCUACCUCCCGAUGAAGCUUUGUGAGGAAAUAAUGCCUGGAUAACUGCAGCUAUUUUGUGACAAUGGCGGAGUGGUCCAAUGACGGCAGAAUGGAAAGAGAGACAGAUCCUCGGUCUGUAAGUUAUGAGAUGCUGCUUAUCCAGUCUUAACCCCACCCUAUUUUUGUGAAAUAGUAGCCCCCCUA